AGGAGGAGGAUGGGCAAGACUGAAGAGAAGGCAGGUCCAAGGAGGCCGAAGGGCUCAAAAGCAGCGCUCAAGUGUGUCAAGUGAGUCAGCAAGAAGAUGCUCGAGGAUCUGGAUUUGAUCACGGAGAUGCCCAGGCCAGAGUCUGACCCCAGGCCUGCUGUGAAGGCCCGAAUCAGAGGCCUCUACCCAAGAACUGUGGAGCCCGACUUUCCCAUGCGAAGUUGGUGGCUAUGAUGGCUGUGGGCUCAGUGCCCGUCCUGGUGGCUGACCCUGACCCUCUCCCUAAUCCUGGGUGCCUCGAGGGUACAGAGAGCCAGGCCCAGAACCCAGAGCCCAGACAGCUUCCCCACUAGAGCCUCUGGGUGGAGGAGAGGAAAGCGGCCCAGAGACGCCAGCAGGAAGAGAACCCAAGUGCUCUCACAACUUAACACCGCCCUGCAACCCUGCCACCUUCUUCUCCCAACAAAUCGGAUACUGAUCCUUUUUUCAAUGAAAUUUUAUUUCAAAUCCUUAGUGAACAUCUAAGAAGAAAAUAUAAAGUGCUUGGUUCUGGGGUUGGGGAAGAGGGAAAGGCCCUGAGUUCACCCCAUUUGGACUUUCCCAGUUCAAUUCCUCAGAGAUAGACAGUGUAUUUCAAAAUUAAAAAAAA